rnacentral:misc_RNA from 1 species
GAACAAGUAAAUACAUACUCUAUGAGUUCAACUCCUCUGCAACUCUUCGGAAUUGAAUUUGUUCCAAGCCUCCUUCAACAGAUCAAACACCUUUGCAGCAAUGCACUUCUGCCUCAGAUCCGCGCCCUUCUGCUGCACUUUAUCGGGAUGGAGGCACAGUGUUGCAUCCCGGUAAACUUUCUUCACCGAGACACUGGUGAUCAGAUCUGCCAACCCCACAGGCUUCCACCCACAUUCCGGCCAGAGCACAUCCUGCAGCGACGACAGCAAUGCCCGCAGGUUCCCUUCUUUUCCGACAGCCCAUCGCCUUAUCUGCGAG